rnacentral:rRNA from 1 species
AUUGAACGCUGGCGGCAUGCCUAACACAUGCAAGUCGAACGGCAGCACGGUCUAGCUUGCUAGAUGGGUGGCGAGUGGCGCACGGGUGAGUAACGCGUAGGAAUAUGCCUUGAAGUGGGGGAUAACUUGGGGAAACUCAAGCUAAUACCGCAUAAGCUCUUAGGAGGAAAGCUGGGGACCGUAAGGCCUGGCGCUUCAAGAUUAGCCUGCGUCCGAUUAGCUAGUUGGUGGGGUAAGGGCCUACCAAGGCGACGAUCGGUAGCUGGUCUGAGAGGAUGGCCAGCCACACUGGGACUGAGACACGGCCCAGACUCCUACGGGAGGCAGCAGUGGGGAAUAUUGGACAAUGGGGGCAACCCUGAUCCAGCAAUGCCGCGUGUGUGAAGAAGGCCUGAGGGUUGUAAAGCACUUUCAGUGGGGAGGAGGAUUGACAGGUUAAGAGCUAGUUAAUUGGACGUUACCCACAGAAGAAGCACCGGCUAACUCCGUGCCAGCCGCCGCGGUAAAAC